CCUAGAAAUAUGCCUGGGCAACUCGGCUUCCCAGGACCUCUGAAGGGGGGUUUCGAUCGUGUCCGUUGAAUUCACUUUAGGCAGUAUGUUUGCACCCCCGCUUUUCACUGGGGCCGUUGGAUGCUGUUACUUUUGGUUUCACUCGUUCAUAUUCUCAGCGACUCAAUGACGCGUGGGAUCGGCAAAGUGCGGGGUCCGGCGGUCAGUGGCAGCCAGGCACGCUCAUUCAUGGUCACCAUGCUUCCCCAAUCCCCAUCCUCUCCUCCUGCCCAUCCCGUCCUCCUCUCCUCUCCCUAAUCAGCCGCCUCCUCCCCUGCUGUUCAUCCAAUCCCAGACCGACGCUUCUCUCUCCCCUUUGGCGGGCUCAGCGCGGCGGGGGGUGAUGCGGGGCAGCUCAGCGCGGCGGCGGCGGGUGACGCGCUCCGCCACUACUGCAUCUCCUCGAUGGCGACAGGGCACGGACGGACAUCUAGAUGCGCUUUGCAACUGCAGUUAGCCACUAGGUGAUCUAUUCCCCUGAAUAAAUUUCGUUUUUUCUUGAUUUGGUAGAAAGCAUGCUCAUCCCGAUUCUUUGAGAAGCGUUUCUUGUUGGAUUUCAGUUGAAGAAAAGCAUACGGUUCUCAUGACUAGCUGCAUACAGACAUACGAGCAUGCUUGUUUUUAGCGAGUCUAAAAGAAAUAGUAGGGUUAGAUAGUAGUGUUCUUGUCUAAUAUGCUGCUAAUUGCCUUCAGAAGUAGUAUGGACAGGUUGAGGAAUGGUGUUGAUUUGAUGAUUUCUGUGUGGUCUCGUUCGUGAAGGAUGCCAAUGUUGAAAAUUAAUGUUCCUGUCAUCUAUGGAAGUCUUCAAAAUCUAUAAUGGGAGAUUAUUACUCAAUAUUUAAUUUGUUAUUCUAAUAUCCAGGUGCUAAUGAGGAUAUACAUUUCAUUCCAAAAACUGAAUCAGCCCUCUAAUAUGAUACUUUUCUGGCACAUUAAAUAUCUGUUUUCUCUCCAUGGACUGUAAAAACUGCUCACAGAUUCUUUCUUUGGCCAGUGCAUUCUACAUUAUUAUUUUUACUUCUUUUGCAGGGAAACAAAAGAAGACCGUUAAGCCUCAUUCUACACUUCAAUUGCAAAGGGUGUUGUCAAGAAUAUCAUCCUAGCCAUGCAAUUAUUUCUGCUGCUUGAGCAUUGGAAGCUUUGAAGCUCGUCUCUGGCUACAGCAGAAGUGUGUCAAAUUAUCUCAUGUGAGGCACUACGUGGCGCACAAUCAACGGUGGGCAACAGCAACCACCAGGUACGGCAAUCGAGAGCACGGUUCACCAGUCUAACAUAUUUUCAGCAGUGUAUAAUGCUUUUGAUGAAUUUUCUCUUGAUGUGAUUGCAUCUGCCAUUUAGUGUGUGAUUGAUGCGGGAACAUCUAUAUUCUUAGAAGCUGGAUGGGUUUGCAGAGUAUGGCUUAUUUACUAUUCAGUUACGUAUGCUGCUGGGAACCUGUUUUGUAUUGGGUUUCUGUGCUUAUUUAGUGAUUAUGUUACAUUUAUAAAGCUUUGUCACUGAACUGUCUUUGCUUGCCUUUCUGAAAGUUUGACAUUACUUCUGUUUACAGAAGAGUGAUCAUCCUACCUCCAGCUGGGCUAAGGUGUCCUUGCCGCCGACUUCGCCGUCUCGAACCCAUAUGCAGGUAUACCAAAUCCUUCCUGUAUCCUCUCUGAUUUUGUGUGCAAUCAUGGAUUUCGUUAUACUUGGUUGGUGUGUGGUAGAUAUGUGCCUACGCCAACACACAUCGGCUGCGAGUGCGGGCGUAUGUGCCUAGAAGGUUUCUUGAUUUGGGACGAAAGUGUAGUUCGUGUGGAAAAUGUGGAGGCAAAUCGGUCGAGCUGGGUUUAUACAGGGCUGGCGGUUUGGUCCAUUCACAGGGAUACAAGAAAUAUAUAUUGGCUAUAUUUAUGUAGAAUGUACAUACGCAGGUUUUCAUCAGCUAAAUGCCUAAUUUUCCAUACGAGGUUUCCAUUAGUUCGAAAACCUACAUUAUUUAACCAUACCCAUUUGUUCUCUGCUUCUCAGUGAUGAUCCUUGUGUAUUUUUAUAUUGAACUAAAUAACACUACUUCAUAUGUAAUUAUUGAGUUUGUUGAUAGCAGCCAGAAAAAAAUACA